AUUGAACGCUGGCGGCAGGCCUAACACAUGCAAGUCGAACGAGUGGCGGACGGGUGAGUAAUGUCUGGGAAACUGCCUGAUGGAGGGGGAUAACUACUGGAAACGGUAGCUAAUACCGCAUAACCUCGGAUGUGCCCAGAUGGGAUUAGCUAGUAGGGGGGGUAACGGCGCACCUAGGCGGCGAUCCCUAGCUGGUCUGAGAGGAUGACCAGCCACUCUGGAACUGAGACACGGUCCAGACUCCUACGGGAGGCAGCAGUGGGAAAUAUUGCACAAGGGGCGCAAGCCUGAUGCAGCCAUGCCGCGUGUGUGAAGAAGGCCUUCGGGUUGUAAAGCACUUUCAGCGGGGAGGCGUUACCCGCAGAAGAAGCACCGGCUAACUCCGUGCCAGCAGCCGCGGGAAUUC
rnacentral:rRNA from 1 species